GCCUGGGUGGCUUAGUUGGUUGAGCGUCCAGCUCUUGAUUUCAGCUCAGGUUAUGAUCUCGCGGUUUGUGGGUUCAAGCCCCACAUCGGGCU
rnacentral:tRNA from 1 species